AUACGGAGGGUCCGAGCGUUAUCCGGAAUCAUUGGGUUUAAAGGGUCCGUAGGCGGGUUUGUAAGUCAGUGGUGAGAGUUUUCGGCUCAACCGGAGAAUUGCCAUUGAUACUGCAAGUCUUGAAUCAUUAUGAAGUGGUUAGAAUGUGUAGUGUAGCGGUGAAAUGCAUAGAUAUUACACAGAAUACCGAUUGCGAAGGCAGAUCACUAAUAAUGUAUUGACGCUAAGGGACGAAAGCGUGGGUAGCGAACAGGAUUAGAAACCCUAGUAGUCC
rnacentral:rRNA from 1 species